rnacentral:rRNA from 1 species
UUUUUAGUUUGAUUUUUAUAGUUUGAUUUUUUAAUAUUUCAUUAGUAAAUAAAAAAAAUAAAUCAAUUAUUUUACCUUUUGCAUAAUGGUUAUUCUAACUUUCUUUCUUUUUAUAAUCUCUCGAAAUAAUAAGAUCUAAUAAUAUUAUAAUUUAAUGUAGCAUAAUUAAAAAUUUAAUUAUUAUUAGUGAUGAAAUAUCCACAAUUUUUAUGAUAUCUAGAUAAAGUAUAAAUAUAUAUAGUAUAGGUUAAAAGCACAAUUAAAAAGUUAUAUGAUUUUUUAACUAGUUAAACAUUGAAAUUUUAAUAAAACAAAUUAUUUUUAUAAUUUUAGUGAUAAUAAAUAAAAAUGAUUGUCUUUUUUUUAACUUAAUUUAUAUUAUUUAUUUCUUAAAAUAAAACAAAAAAUAUUCAAUGAAUAAAUUAGUAUAAUUUAUAUUGUAUAUAAAUGAACUCGUCUAAAUUUAAUCAACUGUUUAUCAAAAACAUAGCCUAAGGAAAAUAAUUUUAGGUAAGUUCUGCUCAAUGUUUAUUUAAAUAGCCGCAGUACUUUGACUGUGCUAAGGUAGCAUAAUCAAUUGUCUUUUAAUUAAGGACUAGAAUGAAUGAAUUUAUGGUUAAAUUCUUUAUUUAUAUAUUUCUUUAAAAAUUAUUUAUUAGGUGAAAAUACCUAUAAAAUUUUAUUAGACGAGAAGACCCCAGGAAUUUAGCUUAUUUUUUAUUGGGGCAAUAUCUAAACAAUUAAAACUUUAGAUUUUUUUAUAAAUCGAAAUUUAUUAAUAAAAACAAAAUUACCCUGGGGAUAACAGCAUAAUUUUUUAUAAAGAUUGUGACCUCGAUGUUGGAUUAGAAAAAAAUUUUACUUAAAGAGUAAUUUUUUAUGUUCUGUUCGAACAAUAAUUUAUUUUCUACAUGAUCUGAGUUCAGACCGGCGUAAGCCAGGUCAGUUUCUAUCUAUUUUUGUUUAUUUAGUAGUACGAAAGGACCUUAAUUAAUUUAUUUUUAAAAUAGUUUAGGUAGUUUAUAUAAAAUAUUAACUUUGGAAGUUA